rnacentral:rRNA from 1 species
GACGAACGCUGGCGGCGUGCUUAACACAUGCAAGUCGAGCGGGCUGCCUGGUUUUCGGAUCGGGUGGUGAGUGGCGAACGGGUGAGUAACACGUGAGUAACCUGCCCCUCUCUUUGGGAUAACGUCGGGAAAUCGGCGCUAAUACCGGGUAUUCUGGCUUCCUCGCAUGGGGUUGUUGGGAAAGGUUUUUUCUGGUGGGGGAUGGGCUCGCGGCCUAUCAGCUUGUUGGUGGGGUGAUGGCCUACCAAGGCGGUGACGGGUAGCCGGCCUGAGAGGGUGUCCGGCCACACUGGGACUGAGACACGGCCCAGACUCCUACGGGAGGCAGCAGUGGGGAAUAUUGCACAAUGGGCGGAAGCCUGAUGCAGCGACGCCGCGUGGGGGAUGACGGCCUUCGGGUUGUAAACCUCUUUCAGUGCAGAACAAGGCUCUUUGUGGGUUGAGGGUAUGCGCAGAAGAAGCGCCGGCUAACUACGUG